UACGAAGGGGGCUAGCGUUGCUCGGAAUUACUGGGCGUAAAGCGCACGUAGGCGGCUUUCUAAGUCGGGGGUGAAAUCCUGGAGCUCAACUCCAGAACUGCCUUCGAUACUGGAGCUCGAGUCCGGGAGAGGUGAGUGGAACUGCGAGUGUAGAGGUGAAAGUUCGUAGAUAUUCGCAAGAACACCAGUGGCGAAGGCGGCUCACUGGCCCGGUACUGACGCUGAGGUGCGAAAGCGUGGGGAGCAAACAGG
rnacentral:rRNA from 1 species